rnacentral:rRNA from 1 species
UGGGGAAUAUUGGACAAUGGGCGCAAGCCUGAUCCAGCCAUGCCGCGUGAGUGACGAAGGCCUGAGGGUUGUAAAGCACUUUCAAUAGGAAGGAAUACCUAUCGGUCAAUACCCGAUAGACUGACAUUACCUAUACAAGAAGCACCGGCUAACUCCGUGCCAGCAGCCGCGGUAAUACGGAGGGUGCAAGCGUUAAUCGGAAUUACCGGGCGUAAAGCGUGCGUAGGCGGUUCGUUAAGUCAGAUGUGAAAGCCCCGGGCUUAACCUGGGAACUGCAUUUGAUACUGGCGGACUAGAGUUGAGUAGAGGAGAGUGGAAUUUCAGGUGUAGCGGUGAAAUGCGUAGAGAUCUGAAGGAACACCAGUGGCGAAGGCGGCUCUCUGGACUCAAACUGACGCUGAGGUACGAAAGCGUGGGUAGCAAACAGGAUUAGAUACCCAGGUAGUCCCUGAGCGGGCUGGCAAGGCGCAU